rnacentral:rRNA from 1 species
GUAGUUUGACUCCGUCGGCUACGACGGACGACGCUGGCGGCGUGCUUAACACAUGCAAGUCGAACGGAAAGGCCCCUUCGGGGGUACUCGAGUGGCGAACGGGUGAGUAACACGUGGGUGACCUGCCCUGCACUCUGGGAUAAGCCUGGGAAACUGGGUCUAAUACCGGAUAUACCCUUCUGGCCGCAUGGUCUGGGAGGGAAAGCUUUUGCGGUGUGGGAUGGGCCCGCGGCCUAUCAGCUUGUUGGUGGGGUGAUGGCCUACCAAGGCGACGACGGGUAGCCGGCCUGAGAGGGUGUCCGGCCACACUGGGACUGAGAUACGGCCCAGACUCCUACGGGAGGCAGCAGUGGGGAAUAUUGCACAAUGGGCGGAAGCCUGAUGCAGCGACGCCGCGUGAGGGAUGACGGCCUUCGGGUUGUAAACCUCUUUCAGUGCCGACGAAGCGCAAGUGACGGUAGGCACAGAAGAAGCACCGGCCAACUACGUG